rnacentral:rRNA from 1 species
UUCCGGUUGAUCCUGCCGGACCCGACUGCUAUCAGAGUGAGAUUAAGCCAUGCGAGUCAACGUAUGAAUAAUACGUGGCGAACGGCUCAGUAACACGUAGUCAACAUGCCCAGAGGACGCGGAUAACCUCGGGAAACUGAGGAUAAACCGCGAUAGGUCAUAAUUACUGGAAUGUGUUAUGGCCCAAAUCUAUAUGGCCUCUGGAUUGGACUGCGGCCGAUCAGGCUGUUGGUGAGGUAAUGGCCCACCAAACCUAAAACCGGUACGGGCUCUGAGAGGAGGAGCCCGGAGAUGGGCACUGAGACAAGGGCCCAGGCCCUAUGGGGCGCAGCAGGCGCGAAACCUCUGCAAUAGGCGAAAGCCUGACAGGGAUACUCUGAGUGAUUCCCGCUAAGGGAAUCUUUUGGCAUCUCUAAAAAUGGUGCAGAAUAAGGGGUGGGCAAGUCUGGUGUCAGCCGCCGCGGUAAUACCAGCACCCCGAGUGGUCGGGACGAUUAUUGGGCCUAAAGCAUCCGUAGCCGGUCUUGCAAGUCUUCCGUUAAAUCCGGCUGCUUAACAGAUGGGCUGCGGAGGAUACUACAAGGCUAGGAGGCGGGAGAGGCAAGCGGUACUCAGUGGGUAGGGGUAAAAUCCUCUGAUCCAUUGAAGACCACCAGUGGCGAAGGCGGCUUGCCAGAACGCGCUCGACGGUGAGGGAUGAAAGCUGGGGGAGCAAACCGGAUUAGAUACCCGGGUAGUCCCAGCUGUAAACGAUGCAGACUCGGUGAUGAAUAGGCUUCGUGCAUAUUCAGUGCCGCAGGGAAGCCGUUAAGUCUGCCGCCUGGGGAGUACGGUCGCAAGACUGAAACUUAAAGGAAUUGGCGGGGGAGCACCACAAUGGGUGAAGCCUGCGGUUCAAUUGGAGUCAACGCCAGAA